AAAGGAAUUGACGGGGGCCCGCACAAGCAGUGGAUUAUGUGGUUUAAUUCGAAGCAACGCGAAGAACCUUACCAGGUCUUGACAUCCCGCGACAGCCUGAGAGAUCAGGUGUCCCUUCGGGGCGCGGAGACAGGUGGUGCAUGGUUGUCGUCAGCUCGUGUCGUGAGAUGUUGGGUUAAGUCCCGCAACGAGCGCAACCCUUACGAUUAGUUGCUACGCAAGAGCACUCUAAUAGGACUGCCGUUGACAAAACGGAGGAAGGUGGGGAUGACGUCAAAUCAUCAUGCCCUUUAUGACCUGGGCUACACACGUAAUACAAUGGCGUUUAACAGAGGGAAGCGAAGGAGCGAUCUGGAGCGAAUCCCCAAAAAGCGUCCCAGUUCGGAUCGCAGGCUGCAACCCGCCUGCGUGAAGUCGGAAUUGCUAGUAAUCGCGGAUCAGCAUGCCGCGGUGAAUACGUUCCCGGGCCUUGUACACACCGCCCGU
rnacentral:rRNA from 1 species